UUAACAUUUUGGAGUCUAAUAUAACUAGACUUCAUGUAUAUGAUUGAGUAUAAGAACUAAAACCGCAACCGGAUCCCAGAAGGUAAAGUAGUAAUCCCU
rnacentral:sRNA from 1 species